UACGGGGGGAGCAAGCGUUGUUCGGAUUUACUGGGCGUAAAGGGCGCGUAGGCGGCCAGCGCAGGUCAGUUGUGAAAUCUCCGGGCUUAACUCGGAACGGUCAACUGAUACUGCGCGGCUAGAGUGCGGAAGGGGCAACUGGAAUUCUCGGUGUAGCGGUGAAAUGCGUAGAUAUCGAGAGGAACACCUGCGGCGAAGGCGGGUUGCUGGGCCAGUUCUGACGCUGAGGAGCGAAAGCGUGGGGAGCGAACAGG
rnacentral:rRNA from 1 species